rnacentral:rRNA from 4 species
GGUUGACCUCGGAUCAGGUAGGGAUACCCGCUGAACUUAAGCAUAUCAAUAAGCGGAGGAAAAGAAACCAACAGGGAUUGCCUCAGUAACGGCGAGUGAAGCGGCAAGAGCUCAAAUUUGAAAUCUGGCCCCU